rnacentral:ncRNA from 1 species
CAUAGGUAGUGGCUUGGUUAAGGGAACCCACCAGAGCCGUAGCGAAAGCGAGUCUUCAUAGGGCAAUUAUCAGUUUGUCACUGCUUAUGGACCCGAACCUGAGUGAUCUAUCCAUGACCACAAUGAAGCUUGGAUAAAACUAAGUGGAGGUCCGAACCGACUGAUGUCAAAGAAUCAGCGGAUGAGUUGUGAAUAUUAUAUUUUCAAACAUUGAACUCAUAAAAUUUUAA